rnacentral:rRNA from 1 species
AUGGUUCUUUUCCUUAUUGUUUCUUUUGUUUAUUUGCUUGCUUUUACAAGAAACCACAAAACAUUUCUUUCUCCCUUUUUUCUUUUGAAGUUCUUUGAGAAAACAACAAAAAUAUUUCUUCGUUCUUUUUGGUUUUUCUUUGCAAGUUUAUCUGUUACCUCUUUGUUGAAACUUUGGAAAUCUUGUAUCUUUGCGUGUCUCUUUGCAUUAUUGUUUGCCUUCUUUGAGAAAACCCAAAAAAUCCAAAAAUACUUUAGUGGUGUUUCUCUUAGUUCUUUGCCUUUUAUAUUUCAAAAAAUCCAAAAAAAAAUCUCUUUCAUUUUUCUUUUGUUUUUCGUCGUUUGCUUUUGA